rnacentral:rRNA from 1 species
AGCAGCCGCGGUAAUUCCAGCUCCAAUAGCGUAUAUUAAAGUUGUUGCAGUUAAAAAGCUCGUAGUUGAAUUUCGGGAUUGACGUGACGGUCAUGCCUUAAGGGGUAUGAACUGUUACAGUUGAUUUCUCACCUUCUGGAGAAACUUGAUGUCCUUUAUUGGGUGUCUUGCGGAUCCAGGACCUUUACCUUGAAAAAAUUAGAGUGUUUAAAGCAGGCAUUUUUGCUCGAAUACAUUAGCAUGGAAUAAUAGAAUAGGACGGCAUGGUUCUAUUUUGUUGGUUUCUAGGAUCACCGUAAUGAUUAAUAGGGAUAGUUGGGGGCAUUAGUAUUCAAUUGUCAGAGGUGAAAUUCUUGGAUUUAUUGAAGACUAACUACUGCGAAAGCAUUUGCCAAGGAUGUUUUCAUUAAUCAAGAACGAAAGUUAGGGGAUCGAAGACGAUCAGAUACCGUCGUAGUCUUAACCAUAAACUAUGCCGACUAGGAAUCAGACGAUGUUAAUUUUUAANGACUCGUUUGGA